AGGAAGGAAGGAAGGAAAGAAGGAAGGAAGGAAGGAAAGGAAGGAAGGAGAAGAAAGGAAGGAGAAGAAAGGGUGACAGAGAUGAAUGAAUCAAUGUUUAAUAAUCAGCCUGUCCAUCUCUGUUGACCACAGCACUGUUCAGAAAAUCCUAGAAGUGGAACCAACCUAGGUGCCCAUCAGCCAACAGACGGAUAAAGAAAGGUGAUACAUAAACACAGUAGAAUUUCAUCCAUCUAUAAGAAAAUCCAAAUCAUAACAAUGACAGGAAAAACUGAUGGAAGCAAAGAUCAUUGUGUUAAGUGAAACAGGCCAGACUUUAAAACACAGCAUGCCCUUAAUCCCAGCAUUCAUGUGAUAGAGGCAGGGGGAUUUUCAUUAGUUCGAGGCUACAGAGUCUGGCCUACAGAGUAAGUUCCAAGACAGCCAGAGCUAUGCAGAGAGACAUCUCCAAAAGCCAAAAACCAACCAAACAACCAACCAAAAGACCAUGGCAUGCUUUAUCUUAUACUUGGAGACUAAAUUUAAGAUCAUAUGUAUGUAGCUAUCAAUGUGUGUUUGUUCAUGUACGUUUGUAAGACACAAGGUUGAAGUGGGAUUGUGACGAAGAGAUUAUGAUUCAGAGCAGGCAGCCAUGAGUAGGGGCGUGAUGUUCCAGUUAAAGGAAACGGUACAAGCCAGUACUUGGAUGCGAGAUGUGGAUGACGCUGUCAGGGAACAGCAAGCUUUUAGUGUGAUCCAGGGCAUCCAUCACAACGGCGGCUAUAGAUUCCAAGAACACUCAAAUCGAGACAGUAGCAGAAGCAUUAGAAAGCAGUGUGAGCCUUUUGCCGCAUGGCUCACGUGCCUGCCAUUAUCCACCGAUUACCACGGUGUGGGACUCAAUAAAUACUUCAGAAAUGCUGAGGUUACCCAGAGAGAAUGUCAAGAGUGCAAGGAACUGAGGGCUGACCUCCGGAGGAUCCACAUCAGGAAGAGAGAGCCUAAGGAGGCCUCUGAAUGAAACCCAUUGUCAGUCACGAAGCUCCGAGGAAGGGAGGAGACCACGUGGCCAUAGAGACUCAAAGAACAGAGAGAUUCAAGAAAAGAUGAGCAGCUGUCCCUGUCAAAUAUAGAAAAUGAGAAAAAGCAAAGUUAGGAAAUGGCUCGUUCAUUGGCCAACACUGAGGUACCUGGUGAUCUUGGCCUUUCUACCAGAUCUCCGAGGCAAAUGGCCUACUUUUCUCACCUAAAAAUAAAGAUAAGUAGCCCCACA
rnacentral:lncRNA from 1 species